UACGUAGGGCGCAAGCGUUAUCCGGAAUUAUUGGGCGUAAAGAGCUCGUAGGCGGUUUGUCGCGUCUGCCGUGAAAGUCCGGGGCUCAACUCCGGAUCUGCGGUGGGUACGGGGCAGACUAGAGUGAUGUAGGGGAGACUGGAAUUCCUGGUGUAGCGGUGAAAUGCGCAGAUAUCAGGAGGAACACCGAUGGCGAAGGCAGGUCUCUGGGCAUUAACUGACGCUGAGGAGCGAAAGCUAGGGGAGCAAACGGG
rnacentral:rRNA from 1 species